rnacentral:lncRNA from 1 species
AUGAGACACGGAUACCCCAAGCUAAGAACUGCUUGGGAGAUAAUUCUAGCAGCAACCCUUGCUGCUCCUCAUACUGCGUGUCUUCGCUUUCUUGGAGCCUUAACUCCAGGGGUGACUCUAAAUUUUUUUUCUCUCUACUGGGGAUCUCUACAGGCAGGGGCAGGGAUAAGUCCCAGGCCUUCGUUUGUACAGGCCUGGAGUCCGGGCUGGCUCUUCCUUUCUGCUAAGGUUGGGUACAGCCUCGUACUGCCCUGUCUGUGUUCUGCCUGCUCCUGCUUCAUCUUGAUAACAGAUUUAUGCUGCAACUCAGGUAUCCAUGAGGAGUUUGUCUUUAAACCCAGGGGAAAGUGCUUUUAUGUAGUAUUUCCUAUACAAGUUUUAGCGGGUUUUUGCCUUUGCUUAGGCCAACCAACUGAGCAAUCAAAGCAGCACGAGGACAGUCUCAGAGCAUGCGUGUAUCUUCCACACGUCAAAAUACUUUUCUCUUUAUGUUAAAAAGUAGAGGGGGAGAAAAACCCCUGAUGAAGGGGAAGGGGUAGUAGUGUCUAAUCACUGCAGAACCAUCUUGAGCUAAUUGAGUUUGUCUAAAAUUCAUCCAGCCUUUAAGGUUUAAUAGAAGAUGAUGGUCUUAAUGCAUCACAUGCCUUGGAGUAAAUGGAUACUCUGCUUUAAAGGCCCUGUUGAUGUUAUGUGAAGGGGAACAACAGUUGUUAUGAUUCUGAAACUCAGAUUGAACCCAAUUAAUCAAUGCUGAGAUGAUUUGAAUCAUGUGGCAUGCAUGGUCACCUCUCUGAUAUUCUAUCCUUAUCCCUCCCUAGACUGAGACAUGAUUGAUGUCAACUGUACACCGAAUUUUCAGGGGGAAGGCUGAGCCAAGUCAUUUGGACAGAGAAACAAAUUAGAUCAAAAGUGUGAUCCAGGGGAAAGGAGAUCAGUUUCAGAGCCGAAGCUUAAAUUUCUUUUUUGUACCUUGGGUGCUCUGGCUGGGUGCGCCUGCCUUCGGGAUUGCACCGAGCACUGCGAGCAUGUGUGUGCGUGUGCAUGUGCACAAGCACCAUCCCAGGGGUGAGACGGUUAGCAUGGGAUGACUACACAUGCCUCGGUCAAAAACCAAAGUGCAAAACUCAUCAGAAGGCACGUUUGCAUCUUUGAGC